ensembl:lncRNA
UUUUUUUUUUUUUUUUUUUUUUUUUUAAAGUUCCCCGGGAUCAUUCCAAAGUGCAGCCAGGGUUGAGAACCCCUGCAAUAGAGGGUCAGAGCACCAGCAGCUGCAGAUGGCAGAGCAAGUCCCAGGACAGGGCAGAGAGACGGUCCAGGAGUAAGGGGCGGGCGGUGGCAAAGAGCCCGCAGUGCGACGGUGUCCCAGGCCAGAGAGGCACUCCUUCUAGGUCAGGACUGCCUGGGACUGACGGACGUGGGCUGAGGAGCGUGACUCACAGCUGGGUUUCCUCUCUUGCCCUCUUGGGCAGAGUAAGCAGCGAGAUAAGCAACAAAUGGGUAGCAGAGUGUGUUUCCUUUUAGGCAAAGGAUAAAGAGACGGAACACGGCAGGAGCUAAGAGCCAGGGUUCUGGAGUCCGACGCUCGGGGCUUGGAAUCCCAGUGGACUGCCUGCACAUGCGAGGCUCCAUUUGCUCCGCUGUAAAAGGGGAACGAUCCCAACCGUAAAAUAGGAAUAACAAGAACAACAAGACAGUGGUUGUUGAGAAACACCCCUUAUCUCAUGUAUCCCCUUUAUCUCAUUCCACUCGUAAACAUGGUCCCCGGCCCCACGUGAGAGUUCGGGAAAUGUUAGCUGUUCCGAGAAUUACAGCAAAGAAGCACCACCUUGAGAUAAAUCCCAAGCAGAGAGUCUUAUCUAAGACAGACCCUCCCAUGGGCAUCAAGCUGCUGGAGCGUCUCCUGGAAGAAGCCACGGGCUGAGCCCGGGCCCCACAGAGACAAAAAGCUGUGUCACAGGCAGCACAGGAGCAGCAGGGCAGGCCGGUCCAUGAAAACAAAGGGGCUGGUUGUGAUAGUGCUGUGUGGGCUGCAAGUCGCCAAGGAGAAGCACAGACACACAAGACGCAGAAACUUAGAGACCAAGAUAUGCGGGGAGUUAGCAAAACCCUUCAUCAAAGGAUCAGCAUCUUAAGCUGUGGAGCCUCCCAGGGAUAGCAACGAGACUGUAAAAAUGCCAGUGCUGGUGGCUCCCAGGUGUGCGCUCACAGAGAGGCCCAAGAACUCUCUACAUGGGAACCACCUAUCACCUGAGGACAGACUUGCUACAGGACGUUUCAGAUCUUUUCAAUUUUUUUUUUUUUUUUUUGUCUUUUUGCCAUUUCUUUGGCAGCUCUCACAGCAUAUGGAGAAAGCAGGGGCCAAAGAGACCCUGAAUGGCUUUGUAGCUUUUAAAGCCUCAGACCUUUGGGACAAUACGGCAUCCAAACCGACAAAACUCAUCCACCGGACAAGACACCCGAGUAGGACGCAGUGGGGGAGGAGGGCCGAUGCGGAGAACUGGGAAGGAGCUUCGGGAUGAUGGAAACAGCCACAGUCUCUAUCAGGAUCACAUUUAUGCGCAGGUGUAGACCUUUGUCAAGAUGCACAGAUUGUACUCUUUAGAGGGAUGAGGGUCAUUACGAGCAUUUUACCUCAACUGAGAAAAAAAAUUGUGCAUGAGGCUCACAAGCUUCAGGACAGUGUGUGCUGUGUGAUACCACUUAGUAAAAAAGUGAAAGGCAGGAGUUCCCGUCGUGGCAUAGUGGUUAAUGAAUCC